UAAGGUCCAACAUGUCUUUUCGGCGGACACAACUCGACCCGCAACACACAGUUGCAGAGAACCAGUGGGUGAGGGCAGAAUGUGAGAUGAAAGCAGUGAGUAGAGAUGACUUUUGAAGAUUUUGGUUACUAAGAAGACCAUAACAAUGGAAUGGUUGUUGGUGUGGGGACAGGGACGAUGAGAUCCAGUGUGCCAACUGAGCUAUCUAGAGAUAGGGGCAGGAUCAGUUCAUCCACUGGGAGAUGUAUAUAUUGUUCCAGCUGUAAAUCAAAAUGGAUGCUCUCAUAUGAGGAAGGGGAAAGACAGCACCAAUGGGAAGCUGACUGCAACUUCAGAAAAUGAAGGAGAGUAAGUUUGUAAAGCAUUGAAGGGAAGUGAUGAAGACACAAGAUACUGCUGGGUGGAAAAGCAGGAACAGCCAUGUGCAGGGCA
rnacentral:lncRNA from 10 species